rnacentral:rRNA from 1 species
GACGAACGCUGGCGGCGUGCUUAACACAUGCAAGUCGAACGGUGAACGAGGGAGCUUGCUCCCUCCGGAUCAGUGGCGAACGGGUGAGUAACACGUGAGCAAUCUGCCCCGAACUCUGGGAUAAGCGUUGGAAACGACGUCUAAUACCGGAUACGACGCGGGAGGGCAUCCUCUCCGCGUGGAAAGAACUUCGGUUCGGGAUGAGCUCGCGGCCUCUCAGCUUGUUGGUGAGGUAACGGCUCACCAAGGCGACGACGGGUAGCCGGCCUGAGAGGGUGACCGGCCACACUGGGACUGAGACACGGCCCAGACUCCUACGGGAGGCAGCAGUGGGGAAUAUUGCACAAUGGGCGCAAGCCUGAUGCAGCAACGCCGCGUGAGGGACGACGGCCUUCGGGUUGUAAACCUCUUUUAGCAGGGAAGAAGCGAAAGUGACGGUACCUGCAGAAAAAGCACCGGCUAACUACGUG